UACAGAGGUCUCAAGCGUUGUUCGGAUUCAUUGGGCGUAAAGGGUGCGUAGGCGGGCGGGGUAAGUCUGGUGUGAAAUCUCGGGAGCUCAACUCCGAAAUUGCACUGGAUACUGCUCUGCUGAGAGGGCUGGAGAGGAGAUCGGAAUUCACGGUGUAGCAGUGAAAUGCGUAGAUAUCGUGAGGAAGACCAGUGGCGAAGGCGGAUCUCUGGACAGCUCCUGACGCUGAGGCGCGAAGGUCAGGGGAGCAAACGGG
rnacentral:rRNA from 1 species